CUGCAGCCCGAGUGGUGAUCGAUUUUAUUGAGCAUAAAGCGUCCGUAGCCGGACUAGUAAACCCUUGGGUAAAUUGGGCAGCUUAACUGUCCAAAUUCCGAGGGGACUGCUAGUCUUGGGACCGGGAGAGGUCAGAGGUACUCAAGGGGUAGAGGCUAAAUCCUGUAAUCCUUUGGGGACCACCAGUGGCGAAGGCGUCUGACUAGAACGGAUCCGACGGUAAGGGACGAAACCCUGGGGCGCGAACCGGAUUAGAUACCCGAGUAGUCC
rnacentral:rRNA from 1 species